GACAGAGGGGGCAAGCGUUGUUCGGAUUUACUGGGCGUAAAGGGCGCGUAGGCGGAUUUACAAGUCAGAGGUGAAAGCCUGGGCUCAACCCGGGAAUGGCCUUUGAGACUGUAAGUCUUGAGUGCGAGAGAGGGUGGCGGAAUACCCAGUGUAGAGGUGAAAUUCGUAGAUAUUGGGUAGAACACCGGUGGCGAAGGCGGCCACCUGGCUCGCAACUGACGCUGAGGCGCGAAAGCGUGGGGAGCAAACA
rnacentral:rRNA from 1 species